rnacentral:rRNA from 1 species
GAUGAACGCUGGCGGCGUGCCUAAUACAUGCAAGUCGAGCGAACAGACGAGGAGCUUGCUCCUCUGACGUUAGCGGCGGACGGGUGAGUAACACGUGGAUAACCUACCUAUAAGACUGGGAUAACUUCGGGAAACCGGAGCUAAUACCGGAUAAUAUAUUGAACCGCAUGGUUCAAUAGUGAAAGACGGUUUUGCUGUCACUUAUAGAUGGAUCCGCGCCGCAUUAGCUAGUUGGUAAGGUAACGGCUUACCAAGGCGACGAUGCGUAGCCGACCUGAGAGAGUGAUCGGCCACACUGGAACGGAGACACGGUCCAGACGCCUACGGGAGGCAGCAGUAGGGAAUCUUCCGCAGUGGGCGAAAGCUUGACGGAGCAACGCCGCGUGAGUGAUGAAGGUCUUGGGAUCGUAAAACUCUGUUAUUAGGGAAGAACAAAUGUGUAAGUAACUAUGCACGUCUUGACGGUACCUAAUCAGAAAGCCACGGCUAACUACGUG